GACGAACGCUGGCGGCGUGCUUAACACAUGCAAGUCGAACGGAAAGGCCCUGCUUUUGUGGGGUGCUCGAGUGGCGAACGGGUGAGUAACACGUGAGUAACCUGCCCUUGACUUUGGGAUAACUUCAGGAAACUGGGGCUAAUACCGGAUAGGAGCUCCUGCUGCAUGGGGGGGGUUGGAAAGUUUCGGCGGUGGGGGAUGGACUCGCGGCUUAUCAGCUUGUUGGUGGGGUAGUGGCUUACCAAGGCUUUGACGGGUAGCCCGCAUGAGAGGGUGACCGGGCACAUUGGGCCUGAGAGACGGACCAGACUCCUACGGGAGGCAGCAGUGGAGAAUAUUGCACAAUGGGCGGAAGCCUGAUGCAGAAACGCCGCGUGCGGGAUGCCGGCCUUCGGGUUGUAAACCGCUUUCGACUGUGACGAAGCGUGAGUGACGGUAAUGGGUAAAGAAGCAACGGCUAACUACGUG
rnacentral:rRNA from 1 species